rnacentral:lncRNA from 1 species
UAUAACUGUAUUAUUACUCUUUAAAAUUCACAAACAAACAUUAAGCUACAUUUUGAAUUAGCAGUUUAUUUUAUCCGUAUACCAAAAGCAACACACUUUAGUAACUUAUUUUUUUACACUUCUAAGAAUUAGGAAAAAGACCCGAUACGUCAUGGAAAUGUUGGUCACAAUAUCCUACAUUUUCCGCCAUUCCGCUCUUUAAUUUUAACUCUUUUUUUAUUCUAAUCUUUAAUAUUUCUUUUUCAGGCUUCCUGUGGGAGCAAAAUUUUGGUGCACGGCAAAUCAUUUUCAGGCAAUAAUAAAUCUCUUUAGUUUGGAAUCUUUCGUGGCUUGGAGCUACGAUAGCAAGAAAACAUUGUCGGCAUUUCACAGGGAAUUAAUAGUAGUUUGUGAUCAAUCAAAUUGCAAGAAAAGGACCGAUAUAAUGCCGCCAAUUUUCAAUCAAUCGGAGUGACUAUAAGACAAAGAAAGCACAGCUAGCAUUAUCAAUAAUUCAGAUAAAUCUAAACCAGUCAGUGGAAAAGCUGAAUAGACAGAUAAUGAACCGAUUCUCCUAAAUAUGAGACAGAAUAGCUAUGUCUUCGUGGCUCCUUUUCAAACAGAAAAAUCACCAUCAAUAAUAUAUCUUCCUUGGAAUCUUGCUCCAUUCGACCAAUGAAUUUAGAUAAUAAGUUAGCUAGUGACAAUGCAAAAAAAGGCUUAUCACCAUCAACGAGAGUGACGGCAACACGAAGCAACGCUUGGUGCAAAUAAGUGGAUUAAUCUCUACAUUUCACUUGUAAUAAAAAAUAAAUUUAAUUUUUCCGGUCAACAAUUUUUGUUACUUUGAGUUUCAGACUUUCAGUCAGCGAAAUCUGAAAAAUGAAACCCUAAAUAACUAAUUCGGAAGCUCAAGAUUGAAAUCAAUAAUUUAAAAAUGAUAAUUAUAUGCAUGCUUAUACCACGUAAUGCAUAAUGUUUUUAAUUCAUUUAUUGAUAUUUUAAAUAAUCUCUUGGGUAAAUUUUUUAUUAUUCCGAAUUUAUUAUCUUUAAAUUAUUCCAUUACUAUUAAAAACUUUAAGUUAUUUUAAUUUUUAUUUAAAAAAUGAGAGGAGAGAGCUAAUUUAUAUUUGUUAAAUUAUUUUAAUUAUUAACAAUAUUUUAAUAUGAUUAUUCUACUAAACAAAUUAAACUGUUUAUAUUACAUUUGUAUUUAUUAAAAAUUUUGAUGUUCAAUUGUUUUUUUUAACUCUUUAGAUAAGAAACUCUCCCUAAAUUCUCCCUCUCCGUCACCAAUCAAUCUCCCGAAGUCUGUUUUUGAUCGGCUUUAUAAAGUUAAGGUUUGUAAUGCAAAACUGAAAAUCGUUUUUUCGUCCAUUCGUUGCCCUCUCUUGCUCUUUCUAAGCGUUUUAACCAGACAUCAACUGCCACUUCGGCCUUGGUCGGAGUGGUGGGCUGCUGCCCUCACAAGCAUUGUGAGGGCAGCGGUUCAAGCCCCCACAAAAGCAUUUGUGGGGGCUAACGUGCUUAUUUGUUUAAUAUUUCAAAAAUUUCCUCUCUCUCGUGCAAUACGAGUGGAGUAUGAACAUCCCUCUUCUGUAAGGGAUUAUUUAUCUGGGCAUGUACUUCACAGAAUUCAAUGUAAUAAUAUAAGUCCCAAUCAUGUAUUUCUGAUUGUAAAUAUCAGUGUAAUAUAUCUGCUAUAAUAGCAGUUGUAAAUAUCUGUGUAAUGCAGUAAUAUGAUGAUUAAUCAGUAUUCAAAAAAAAAAAACCAGACAUCAACUUGGUCAAAUUAGUUGACUCAAGUGGUCAAAUUAGUUGACUCAAGUGCCCACGCGAGGACUUAAAUGAUGAAACUAAUGAAUUGGGCACUUGAAGACUCUGCGUUUUGCUUUGGCUUCGAUUAAUGGCCAACAUGUUCCUGGCCUCAAUCUUAUCAACACUCCUAGUUCUCAAGAUUAUAACAAAUAAAAAGAUUAUCUCUUUUGCACUCACAUCGCUUGGAAGUCAAUCUUUUUUUCUGAUUUUUAUCAUGCGGAAAGGUAAUUUACUCUCCACGUGUGUGUGAAUCAUAUCAAGUACCACUCAAAAGCCCAUAAAUCUAUCUCAUACUAAAAAUUAUAAAAUUUAUUUAACACAAAAAUUAUUUCAAAUUUUCAUAAUAAAUAUAAAUAUACUAUUAAAAUAAAUAUAAUAAUUUACAUUUAAAAAAUUAUUUUGUAUAUUAAAAAUAUUCUAAUAUCA